GAUCUCCUGAGACAGAAAGCACAGGCGGUGCGGUGGAAGGUUCUGCGUGAUGACGUCAUCAUCGGGGUCGUCCCGCCGUGGACUCGAGGCCCGUUAUCAAAAAGCCGUGCGGUUCGAAUGAAAAGGGCAUUUACGAGACAGGAACAGUGGGUCAAAUUUAACGUGUAACUCCAGUCUUCUGAACGCUGUCCCUUUGAAAUCAUAAUGCGAUUCCUCCUGGAUUCACUUUGUCCCAGCGGAUUUCUGGCCUGGGGACACCGUCCUCCACCGAGCAGGACAGCGUGACACUUCCUCCCGUGCCGAUGUCUCCAUCCCACUGGCACUCGGGCAGCGACGGCGGCGCUACACAAGUUGUCAGUGGAUGAGACUCUUAACUCUAUUGGAGUUCUAAUAAAUAAGACUUGGUGCAACAUUUCAA